rnacentral:lncRNA from 1 species
CUUGUCAUAGUCAUACUGACCGGAACUUGCUGUCUUAAUCACCUUUCCUUCUGAGCCCAGGUCCUGCUCAUUGUUUGGUACCUGAGGGGAUGCUCCGUGGUGUGUGGUGCUGGACCCUCUCUGUGCAGAGGGGUUGGCAUGGGGCAGUUCCACCUGGGCCGGUUGGUUAUAUGUGCAGCUCCUGCACCAUGAGGGUAGAGUGGGUGUGUGCAAGUUCUGAUCGCUGCCUCUGGCCUGGGUGGAUGCCUUGCUUGGUGGGCAGGGUGGGCUGCCCAAGGCCCUGCCAGAUCCAUCUGGCUCCAGCUCCUGACUCCAUGAGGGAUGGGGUAGGUGGCACCUUGGGCUCCCCAAGCAACCGGAGGCCAAUAUCGGCUUGAGGCUGGCCUGCUGCACUCCUGGUGCAGUGUUCCUUCUUGAUAUCUGGGUGAGCAGGAAGUGCAUAGCCACACAUGCACACACACAAAUUGUGCUGUGGUGAAACGUACGUUCAGUGAAACACAGCACUCCGGAGGACUGUGGCUGAGUCUCGGCGAUGGACAGAGAACUGUGGCCCUGGCUGAGGUAGGGCAUUCCCUCCUUCCCCUUCCCAACCACUCCCCACUCUGCCACCAUGACCUGGUUCACAGCUGCUCCUUAGCGUCGUGUAAUGCAACCAUACAUCUAAAAUGUCUGUGUGUUGUUGGGCUCAGUGGCCAGGUCUGCAUCUCAGCUACCAAGGAGGCUGAGGCAGGAGGAUUGUAAGUGCCAGGCAGGUUGGUAACUUAGCAAGAUCCUGUCUCAAAAUAAAAAAGUAAAAAGGGCUGGGGUGUAGCACAGUGGCAGAGCACCCCUGGGUUCAGCCCCCAGCACCAUGAAGGAAAGAAAAGGAAAGAGAAAGUGCAGGUGUGUUUCAUCUCCUUGGGCAGGUGUGGUAGGCAUGCAGUUGUUUAGUCAUGAGGUCAAUGUUCAUUUGAUUUUGCCAGAAACUUCCAAACUGGUUUCUGAGCUGGCUGCAGCAUCUGGUGCCUCCUCCAUGCCUGGGAGGGUCCAACUUCGUCCAGGUACACAGCCUCACCUCAGGAGCUCUGGUUUGUGUCUCCAAAGGACUUCAUGUGGAGUGUCUUUUUGUGCUUUUGGUCAUUUUUAUAUUUUUUAUGUGAGGUGUGUCUCAAAUAGUUUGUUCAUUUUUAGAAACCAGCCUUUAAUUUUUGAAUUUUAAAAAUUUGAAACAAUCUCAGGCAAGGAGUUAGCUCAGAGGCAGAGCUUGUCCAGCAUAGCAAGGCCCUGGGUUCUAUCCCUAGCACCCAAAAAAAAAACAAACAAAGCAAAACAAAAAACCAAAACCUGCUCUGGAUUCCUUAGGUCUGUUUAUUUUUAAUAUAUCUCCUCUGUUGAUAGUUUACCUUUUCAUUUUUAUCACUGAUGUCCUUUAAAGUGCAGGAGUUCUGAUAUUUGUGGAAACAAUUUACCAGUUUUUCCAUCAGUGCUUCCAUGUCCUUUCAGAGAAGGGGCUGCCUCCCCAUGCUGUGAGGAGCUCUGGUUCCCACAUCUCACUCCAUGUUCAGUUGGCCCUGGGAGCUCUUGAGCUGGGGUGCAGGUCAGGCCUGGCUCCCCCUGUCCCCCCCAGCUUCAGCUCAGUGGUCCCAGCACCAUUGUUGAAGACACUCUUCUGCUUGGCCCUCGAGGAGAUUCUAGCUGCACACCUGGGUCUGGGCUGGCUCCCCACACUGGCAACUGUGUUCCAUCCAGCUUCUACAAGCUUGGGGUCACCCAGGCAGCCACACUGGCCACGAGUAGCUACACAGUUCUUCCUGUCCUCUGCACACUGGCCAAUCCUCAGUCACAAACACAGGCCCUAGAGGUGCCUGGUAUGCACAGGGAGUGGCAGUGGAGCAGACACCCUGGAAGGUAACAGGCAGGUGUCACAGUGAGGGCUGAGGCCAGAGGCCAGGAGUAUGGACUUGACCCUCUGGGUUCCCAGAGCAAGCCACGUCUAGGUGUCAAGGAGGAGCAGCACACAGGGAGGCUGUGGGGGAAGGGAGGGUGGACUGUGUCCCCUACCUGACUUCUUCUUCUGGGCAUGCCAUCCCACAAAGCACGAGGGGAGCCAGGCUCUGCAGGACCAAGUGUCUAGGAAUUUGGAAUGGUCACCCCCCAGCCCCAACAAAAGGGAUCCCCCAUGGCCUUGUUGGGCCUGCAGCCGCAGGCUGAUGUGGUGGGAUACUCCUGCCCACCCCUCUCCUUAUACUGAGCGCAUCCCCUCUCCCAGUCAUUCUAGAGAGUUGGCCAUGGAGUGGAGCACUCAGAAUGACAAGGCAAGAUGCCACCUGGGGGCAUGGACCCUUGGGGACACCCAUGACAUGCUCUUAGGAGGGUUUUAAUCAAGCUAUGAGUCUGAUGGGGGUGGGGCAGCCCAGGCUGGGCACUGUGGGUGGGGACUAGCAGGGAAGUACAGCCCCCCCCCUCUACUGGGGACUGAUUUGACGCAUGCAGUUUGGGGAGGAGUGAGGUUGGGUUGGAGGCCCUGCAGAGAUGCUGAGGGGGCAGGGCAAGGGGGCAUCUGGGAGCACCCAGGGCCUAGGUGCUUCCUUGGCAAUGUCUGUCUGGUACAGAUGCAGCCCCUCCCCUGAUCCCAGGAGGAGGGGAUCUGUGUCUUUCCCUGGCUUAAGCCAGGAUCCCUGGGUGCUGACAAAAUCUAGACAUUGCCAUACCACAGCCACCACACUUGGCCACCUGGUCACUCCUAGAUGAGCUUCUGCCAGAGCAGAAGUUCCUGGGUGGGGGGAGGGGGACAGGUAUUGGGUGCUGCUUAAGUGUCACAGCCAGAGCUGCUUAGAGCAAAAGAUGCCCCUCAGAAAAGCUGGGCCUUGCCCCCAGACCACAGGAGACCUGGGCUGAAUUUCCUCCAUGGCUCCUAGCACUGGCAGAGGGCAAAGCCAGGCUAGGCACCGUGGACUCUGGGAACAAAUGGUUCAAGAGAUGAAGCUGAGUGGGGGAUGGGAACGCACUUUGUUUCUUUUUAAUUUGAUUUUUUUCCCAUACUAGGAAUUAAACCCAGGGUUUCACAUGUGCUAGCCAGGAGAUAGGCAGGUGCUACACCACUGAGCUACACUCCCAGCACCUCCUCUUUUUUUUUAGUACCAGAGAUUGAACCCAGGGGUGUUAACCCCUGAGCCACAUCUCUAGCCCUUUUUUAUAUUUUGUUUAGAGUCAGGGUUUUGUUAAGUUGCUUAGGGCUUGGCUAAAUUGCUGAAACUGGCUUUGAACUCAUAAUCCUCCUGUCUCAGCUUCCCGAGCUGCUGGGAUUACAGGCGUGCACCACAGUGGCCAAUUUCUAGUUCCUUUGUGGUGCGUGCAGUAUUGGAUCACAUGCUUUGCCUACUUUUCUCUUAAGC